rnacentral:lncRNA from 1 species
CUCCUGAGCUCUUGCUCUCUCUCUCUCAAAAAAUAAAUAAAAUCUUUAAAAAAAAAACCCAGUGCAUUUAAUUGUAAUGUUAUGGUAGCCAUAAAAUAUCAGAAAUAAAAAUUAGGAACAUGACUUAUUUAUUUUGUUUGAGAAUGUAUAACUGAAACCUAUCUUAUGACAAUUGAAGACUAAGGGAUAUUUGUAUCAAUAAGGCAAUAUGGAAAUAAUAUAAAUGCUGUUUGCCUCUGCCUUAGCUUUAAGAUAGGCCAGCCCUGCUCACUAAUACCAUUUUAUAGUCUAGGAACUGCAUGCCCAUCUGUAGCUGUAAGAACCUGCUUUUUCCCCUAUCAGUGACCACUUUCACUUGCCUCGAACUUUUAUGAAAACUGGACUCCUCCUUGGCUGAGUUCCAAGUCCUCAUCAUCUGGGCUUUGUCUUCAGGCCAGAUUCCAGGGUGCCAUACUUCCAGGUGUCAGACCAAGACACAGUCGUGCCAAAGGAAAGAGACAAUGUCUGCUUCUUUGAGAACACCUUGCCCAGGAUCUGCACCCAGGCUUAGCACUCAGCUUGCAUUGGCGAAAAUUAUAUCAGAAAUCUACACUUAGGCCAAUUGUCAAGUCCAGGUCUCUUGCUGCACAGCAGAGGGAAAACCAGAAUGAAUACUCCCUGGAAAGCCCAUCUGAGAAAAGGCACCCCAGAAGGGGGCUCAUUCAGGUGUUGCAUUUUCUUCUCUGGAGAUUGUCCACCAAAUACAUCACUUCACUCUGUCAUACAGCAGUAUGUAUAAUACAAUACUAGGAUGACCCAAGAAGAAAUGCUACCUGGAUAGUUUGAUGAUGGUAAAACUUUUACUUUUUGAUAUAUACCCAUAACACUAAACAUGUACUAAUAACUUCAGUAUAAACCCCUCAGCAAUUGG